UGGGGGAUAUUGCACAAUGGGCGAAAGCCUGAUGCAGCGACGCCGCGUGGGGGAUGAAGGCCUUCGGGUUGUAAACUUCUUUUGCUCUGAACAAGGCGCACCAUGGGGUGUGGUGAGUGUAGGGGUUGAUUAGCGCCGGCUAACUACGUGCCAGCAGCCGCGGUAAUACGUAGGGCGCGAGCGUUGUCCGGAAUUAUUGGGCGUAAAGGGCUUGUAGGUGGCUGGUUGCGUCUGUCGUGAAAGCUCAUGGCUUAACUGUGGGUUUGCGGUGGGUACGGGCUGGCUUGAGUGCAGUAGGGGAGGCUGGAAUUCCUGGUGUAGCGGUGGAAUGCGCAGAUAUCAGGAGGAAUACCGGUGGUGAAGGCGGGUCUCUGGGCUGUUACUGACACUGAGGAGCGAAAGCAUGGGGAGCGAACAGG
rnacentral:rRNA from 1 species